AGUCCAGUUGUUUGGAGAUCAUGUUGAUGACUCUGGUAGUAGGCUGAUUGUUUGCUGCCUCUUCAGUCGGUUGGGGUCAUCGGUCGGGAUGGGGUCGAGUCGAUGAGUCCCUUCGAUACUUUCUGAGAUACUCUCAUCGUAUGAGGGCCUCUAUUUCAUCCUUGAGUUGGAUACAUUGCUCGGUAUUGUGACCGUGGCUCCGAUGGAAUCGGCAGUAUUUUCUCCGGUCGCAGCCCUUUGCCUUCAGAGGUGGAGGCCGUUGCAGGUAUUCUGCUCCUUCGAUCUCC
rnacentral:lncRNA from 1 species